rnacentral:rRNA from 1 species
UACGAAGGGGGCUAGCGUUGCUCGGAAUCACUGGGCGUAAAGCGCACGUAGGCGGACUCUUAAGUCAGGGGUGAAAUCCUGGAGCUCAACUCCAGAACUGCCUUUGAUACUGGGAGUCUUGAGUUCGGGAGAGGUGAGUGGAACUGCGAGUGUAGAGGUGAAAUUCGUAGAUAUUCGGCGGAACACCAGUGGCGAAGGCGACUCACUGGCCCGAUACUGACGCUGAGGCGCGAAAGCGUGGGGAGCAAACAGG